UCCGUAGGGUGAACCUGCGGAGGGAUCAUUACACAAUAUGAAAGCGGGUUGGGACCUCACCUCGGUGAGGGCUCCAGCUUGUCUGAAUUAUUCACCCAUGUCUUUUGCGCACUUCUUGUUUCCUGGGCGGGUUCGCCCGCCACCAGGACCAAACCAUAAACCUUUUUGUAAUUGCAAUCAGCGUCAGUAAACAAUGUAAUUAUUACAACUUUCAACAACGGAUCUCUUGGUUCUGGCAUCGAUGAAGAACGCAGCGAAAUGCGAUACGUAGUGUGAAUUGCAGAAUUCAGUGAAUCAUCGAAUCUUUGAACGCACAUUGCGCCCUUUGGUAUUCCAAAGGGCAUGCCUGUUCGAGCGUCAUUUGUACCCUCAAGCUUUGCUUGGUGUUGGGCGUCUUUGUCUCUCACGAGACUCGCCUUAAAAUGAUUGGCAGCCGACCUACUGGUUUCGGAGCGCAGCACAAUUCUUGCACUUUGAAUCAGCCUUGGUUGAGCAUCCAUCAAGACCACAUUUUUUUCAACUUUUGACCUCGGAUCAGGUAGGGAUACCCGCUGAACUUAAGCAUAUCAAUAAGCGGAG
rnacentral:rRNA from 1 species